rnacentral:rRNA from 1 species
AGAGUUUGAUCAUGGCUCAGGACGAACGCUGGCGGCGUGCUUAACACAUGCAAGUCGAACGCUGAAGCUCCCUGCUUGCAGGGGGUGGAUGAGUGGCGAACGGGUGAGUAACACGUGAGUAACCUGCCCCUGACUCUGGGAUAAGCGCUGGAAACGGUGUCUAAUACUGGAUAUGUCCCAUCACCGCAUGGUGUGUGGGUGGAAAGAUUUAUCGGUUGGGGAUGGACUCGCGGCCUAUCAGCUGGAUGGUGGGGUAAUGGCUCACCAUGGCGACGACGGGUAGCCGGCCUGAGAGGGUGACCGGCCACACUGGGACUGAGACACGGCCCAGACUCCUACGGGAGGCAGCAGUGGGGAAUAUUGCACAAUGGGCGCAAGCCUGAUGCAGCAACGCCGCGUGAGGGAUGACGGCCUUCGGGUUGUAAACCUCUUUUGUCAAGGAAGAAGCCUUCGGGUGACGGUACUUGGAGAAAAAGCACCGGCUAACUACGUGCCAGCAGCCGCGGUAAUAC